AAUUUUUGACAAUGGGGGAAACCCUGAUCCAGCCAUCCCGCGUGUAUGAUGAAGGCCUUCGGGUUGUAAAGUACUUUUGUCAGAGAAGAAAAGGUAUCUCCUAACACGAUAUACUGCUGACGGUAUCUGCAGAAUAAGCACCGGCUAGCUACGUGCCAGCAGCCGCGGUGAUACGUAGGGUGCAAGCGUUAAUCGGAAUUACUGGGCGUAAAGCGUGUGUAGGCGGUUCGGAAAGAAAGAUGUGAAAUCCCAGGGCUCAACCCCGAAACUGCAUUUUUAACUGCAGAGCUAGAGUAUGUCAGAGGGGGGUAGAAUUCCACGUGUAGCAGUGAAAUGCGUAGAUAUGUGGAGGAAUACCGAUGGCGAAGGCAGCCCCCUGGGAUAAUACUGACGCUCAGACACGAAAGCGUGGGGAGCAAACAG
rnacentral:rRNA from 1 species